GCGGUUAUUGUUCGCUUGACCUUCACUAUCAAAACAACAGGAGUGAGGAAUAUGGCGGAUUUUGUAAAGCCGAUUCACCGCCAUAAAGCUUCAGUUUUGGAAGGACACGGUCUUCUUUUUGUUCAUUGUGUAUCGUCAGAGCCUAUGCUGUUGGUUCCUAUGAGUUAUCGUGUGUUCAGUUUCAAUGCCGUGAGAUUCACAUCAGAAGAAUCGCUAUAUUUGUCUCUAAAAGUUGAUGAAAUCUUCGCCGAUUGCAAUAGCCCAGCAUUGAUAGAGUAUAGAGAUACAUUCCAGUUGUGUUUUUAGGGUAAGUCGUUUGUUUUAAUCCUUAAAGCCAAUACAAAGCCAAUGUAUCUACGCAAUGCUUUUUCUAUGAUUCACAUUUUUGUAACCAAUAUUGGUAACAAUAUUUGUGCUUUCUAUUUUGAAUAUAGAUAGAUAGAUAUUUAUUAAUAUAUGAAUAUGAAUAUAUGCAUAUAGAGCUAAAAAAUAGUUUAAGUUAGAGAAGCCAGGACUGUUCAUUUGGUUUGAUCAUAGAGGUUUGAUUACUUUGGUAUUUUAUACGUACUAAUAGGGUACUAUUAAAGUAAUUAACCCAUUGAAUUGCAUCGACUUGCAUUAAUUGUGCCCUGAUGCACCCUACUUUAUUAUUUUACUCUGUCUAAUGGCAGCUGGCAUAUCUGCCCAUGUGCCUAGUUAACCCAUUGAGUCACAUUGUGCCCUCAUGCGCCCUACUUUAAUAUUUUACUCUGUCUAACGCUGGCACUUAAAGGGUUAAACAGAAGAUUGUUUUUAUAUAUUGCAGUUCUCUGACCUCAGUGAUCUAAGACGAGAUGGAACAGGACAAUCUUUUAUCUUUGGGAAUGUUAUUUUGUGGGAUUUCGAUAUUCUGCCAUUGCCACCUUCUCAAACAAUUCAACCUCGAGGUCCAGAUACUGUUAAUUAAUUAAUGAAGAUUUGGACAGUGUGCUGUGCUGUCACUAAUAAAUUUACAAGGGCAAACUGUAUAUAACUGUGAUCUACAACCAAUAAAUUCUGUGUGCUUGGUGGGUAUUACUCUACAGUGCAGCAUUGCUGAUUGCAAAAAGUGGACCAUGGGACAGAGAUGAUCCAAGAAACAAUUAUAACAGUGACAUAGAUUACGAGAAUAUUGUAAAUUGAUGUUUGUGAUGUUAUUCUGAGUGUGCAUCCACACCGGGCAAGCUGAAAAGUUUGCCUGACCAUGGUGGGAAUCAAACCUGCAAUCUUUGGGAUAUUAGUCCAAUGCUCUACCAACUGAG
rnacentral:lncRNA from 1 species